CCUACGGGAGGCAGCAGUGGGGAAUAUUGGACAAUGGUGGAAACCCUGAUCCAGCGACGCCGCGUGAGUGAAGAAGUAAUUCGUUAUGUUAAGCCCUAUUAGCAGGGAAGCAAAUGACGGUACCUGAGUAAGAAGCCCCGGGUAACUACGUGCCAGCAGCCGCGGUAAUACGUAGGGGGCAAGCGUUAUCCGGAUUUACUGGGGGUAAAGGGAGCGUAGGCGGCAGUGCAAGUCUGGAGGGAAAGGCGGGGGCUCAACCCCCGGACUGCUGUUGAAACUGGACGGCUGGAGUGCGGGAGAGGUAAGUGGAAUUCCGGGUGUAGCAGUGAAAUGCGUAGAUAUUACGAAGAACUCCGGUUGCGAAGGCGGCUUACUGGACUGUAACUGACGUUGAGGCUCGAAAGCGUGGGGAGCGAACAGGAUUAGAUACCCGAGUAGUC
rnacentral:rRNA from 1 species